UCAUGGCUUCCUUCUUCCCCCGGAGAGCAAUGAGUCUGUUUCCCUUUUUCAAUAACAGCUUUAUUACAGCAUGUUAAAGGGAAACAAGAAGAUGAACAGACCAGGCCUGGCUGUGCAGCGAUCAUUCUUCUGAGAAGCCUGUGUGAGGAGAUGCUGGUCUGGGAGUCAAUCUGAGGAAAAGCAGAAGAUAUUUGCUUUAUAUCCGAAGUAUUAUUCAAGGGAGUUCACUCCAGAAGACAAGAGAACUGUUGGUACAUGAUGAAUAUAAAGCUCUAAGACUUGGUGCUGAAAGAUACUUCUCUCAGAAGUGUGCAUUUAUUGUUUGAUACCUUUGGUGAUACGUGCUGCUUCACCUACCAUCUCUCUGGGCAUCAGCCAGCCCUGUGUUUCAGGCUGUACCGGAUGGCAGUACUUCUUUGUUUUUGUAAUGUAUGUCUCCUUUACUGAGAAAGAAGAUGGAAGAUUGGCUUUGACAUUGUGUUGCUGCACUGUAAAUUUUACUAUUAGAGUAAAGUGCAAAGGUACCCUAAAUCCAUGUGAUGGCUCACACCAGACCUCUGUCAGGAGCUCUUUGAUUAGAUUUCCUAGGAAGUCAAAACACUGCACCAAAAUGGUAGCAAGAAGGACUGUGCAGUGCUGGAAGAUCUCAUCCUGCCUGCUCACAGUGCUGACUGUGCUUCUGCUUUUUGAGAAGAAAGGGAAAGAAAGAUGGAGAAAGAGGAGAUGA
rnacentral:lncRNA from 1 species